ACAAGUUUCAAGCCCAGCUGCGCUGGAGCUCCUGCACUCUGAGCAUCAUAACCUGCACCAUGCCCAUGAUCCUGGGUUACUGGGACAUCAGCGGGCUGGCCCAUGCCAUCCGCCUUCUCCUGGAGUACACAGACACAAACUAUGAGGAGAGACAGUACUCGGUAGGAGAUGCUCCUGACUAUGAUAGAAGCCAGUGGCUGAAUGAAAAAUUCAAGCUGGGCCUGGACUUCCCCAAUUUGCCCUACUUAAUCGAUGGGACUCACAAGCUUACCCAGAGCAACGCCAUCCUUCGAUACAUUGCUUGCAAGCACAACAUGUGUGGGGAAACAGAAGAGGAGAUGAUUCGUGUAGACAUUUUGGAGAACCAAGUUAUGGAUGUCCGUUUUGCCAUGGUCAGGAUCUGCUACAGCCCUGACUUUGAGAAACUGAAGCCUGGUUUCUUGAAGGAGAUCCCUGAAAAAAUCAAGCUGUUCUCAGAGUUUCUGGGGAAGAGGCCUUGGUUUGCAGGGGACAAGCUCACCUAUGUGGAUUUCCUGGUUUACGACGUCCUUGACAUGCACCGCAUAUUUGAGCCCAAGUGCCUGGAUGCAUUCCCAAACCUGAAAGACUUCAUUGCUCGUUUUGAGGUCAUUCCCCUGAACUCCUUAGUAUUUACAUCUUUCUUCUCUUUCUUAUUCUCCCUGAUUUCCUAG